GGAAUAUUGGACAAUGGGCGAAAGCCUGAUCCAGCAAUGCCGCGUGUGUGAAGAAGGCCUGCGGGUUGUAAAGCACUUUCAGCAGGGAAGAAAAGCGCAGGGUUAAUACCCUUUUGUCUUGACGUUAUCUGCAGAAGGAGCACCGGCUAACUCCGUGCCAGCCGCCGCGGUAAUACGGAGGGUGCGAGCGUUAAUCGGAAUUACUGGGCGUAAAGCGCGCGUAGGCGGCUUGGUCAGUCAGAUGUGAAAGCCCCGGGCUUAACCUGGGAACUGCAUUUGAUACUGCCCGGCUAGAGUGUGAUAGAGGGUGGCGGAAUUCCCGGUGUGGCGGUGAAAUGCGUAGAUAUCGGGAGGAACACCAAUGGCGAAGGCAGCCACCUGGGUCAACACUGACGCUGAGGUGCGAAAGCGUGGGGAGCAAAC
rnacentral:rRNA from 1 species